GGAAAGUUAACCCUACAGAGUACACGUCUGCAGGGCAGGAAGGCCAGGCUGCAUCCAGGUGCCCAAGCAGUUGUGCCAGCGCAGGUUCAUCUCUCCAGGCAUUCUUUUCCCAUCAGAGGAAACUUGAAGAUGCUCAGGACCACACCAAGUGGUGGUCGGUGCAGGAGGUCAGCGUGGUGACACCAACUGGAGGCUCUCUCCUGGGUGAUUUCCUGAAAUCAGCUCCCCACGGCACAGGCCCCCAUCUAUUGUCACCAAAGCUAGCUUGUCCCAGCUCCAUAUUUUUAUCUUCUCUUGCUUUUGAUAAAACGAAUGUAUAUCCUUUCCCAAGAGAGCAUUAAAGAUA
ensembl:lncRNA